rnacentral:rRNA from 1 species
CAGGUGGUCAGGUAGAGAAUACCAAGGCGCUUGAGAGAACUCGGGUGAAGGAACUAGGCAAAAUGGUGCCGUAACUUCGGGAGAAGGCACGCUGACACGUAGGUGAAGUGGUUUACCCAUGGAGCUGAAGUCAGUCGAAGAUACCAGCUGGCUGCAACUGUUUAUUAAAAACACAGCACUGUGCAAACACGAAAGUGGACGUAUACGGUGUGACGCCUGCCCGGUGCCGGAAGGUUAAUUGAUGGGGUCAGCGCAAGCGAAGCUCCUGAUCGAAGCCCCGGUAAACGGCGGCCGUAACUAUAACGGUCCUAAGGUAGCGAAAUUCCUUGUCGGGUAAGUUCCGACCUGCACGAAUGGCGUAAUGAUGGCCAGGCUGUCUCCACCCGGGACUCAGUGAAAUUGAACUCGCUGUGAAGAUGCAGUGUACCCGCGGCAAGACGGAAAGACCCCGUGAACCUUUACUAUAGCUUGACACUGAACACUGGUCCUUGAUGUGCAGGAUAGGUGGGAGGCUUUGAAGUGUGGACGCCAGUCUGCAUGGAGCCAUCCUUGAAAUACCACCCUUUAAUGGCUGGUGUUCUAACGUGGGCCCGUGAACCGGGUUGCGGACAGUGUCUGGUGGGUAGUUUGACUGGGGCGGUCUCCUCCUAAAGAGUAACGGAGGAGCACGAAGGUUGGCUAAUCCUGGUCGGACAUCAGGAGGUUAGUGCAAUGGCAUAAGCCAGCUUGACUGCGAGCGUGACGGCGCGAGCAGGUGCGAAAGCAGGUCAUAGUGAUCCGGUGGUUCUGAAUGGAAGGGCCAUCGCUCAACGGAUAAAAGGUACUCCGGGGAUAACAGGCUGAUACCGCCCAAGAGUUCAUAUCGACGGCGGUGUUUGGCACCUCGAUGUCGGCUCAUCACAUCCUGGGGCUGAAGUAGGUCCCAAGGGUAUGGCUGUUCGCCAUUUAAAGUGGUACGCGAGCUGGGUUUAGAACGUCGUGAGACAGUUCGGUCCCUAUCUGCCGUGGGCGCUGGAAGAUUGAGGGGGGCUGCUCCUAGUACGAGAGGACCGGAGUGGACGCAUCACUGGUGUUCGGGUUGUCAUGCCAAUGGCACUGCCCGGUAGCUACAUGCGGAAGAGAUAAGUGCUGAAAGCAUCUAAGCACGAAACUUGCCCCGAGAUGAAUCUUCCCUGAGCCUUUAAGGCUCCUGAAGGAACGUUGAAGACGACGACGUUGAUAGGCCGGGUGUGUAAGCGCAGCGAUGCGUUGAGCUAACCGGUACUAAUGAACCGUGAGGCUUAACCUUACAACGCCGAA